AACGUACUCUCUCCGUUGGGAAUUACUUAUUUCGGAUAUGGAUGUAUCUAGAAUUAAAAUACGUCUAGAUACAUCCAUUUCUGCGACAAGUAAUUCCGAACGGAGGGAGUACCCA
rfam:Triticum urartu cultivar G1812 contig1205734, whole genome shotgun sequence.